AAUCAUUUGUUCCAUGUGUUUAAAAAAAAAAGGCCCAUCCUCCCUUUUUCUCUCUAGGCGAAGCAAAGAAUCUGGCCAAGGGGUUCGGUGAGUCCCACGACGGCCACCAGUCGCCAACGGUGGACUCCGCCGUCCUCAGUGGCCGGAAAAUACCAAAUAACUCCCUUUUGAAGCCCGUCACUCGUAAAGCGCUAAUCUGAGAUCCAAGUCUCCGAAAAUCCAACCAAACUUCAACGGAGAAGAAGAAACGUUUCGCUUUCUCUUCUUUUCUGGCAAGUUCUUCGACGGCAAAGAUGCCGACCGACUCAAGUGGCUGUAGUGGAGUGUCAGACGUGUGUAGAGGUGGUGGCUGGCGUGCGGCGGCGCGAAGAGGCUAGGCUGAAGGCUAGAGUUUCUGUUGCUAGUUUAGGUUAUGGGCUGUUUGGGCUAGAGUUAGUUUUGGGCUUGUAAAAGAAAAUUAGACUGUUUUUUUUUAUGGACUAUUAAUAUUUAUUUUGGUUUUUAUUUCUGUUUA